AUGUGUGGAGUAAUAGUAGUAGAUGCAGAUCUCACUUUUGCAAGUGGCCGUGAAGGGAUUGACAACCCCUUUAUCGUGUUGGUUGCAAGGUUCUUAUUUGUUUGUGUAGGUGUGCGGGACAUGAGCAUGGUCUCCUACUGGAUUGAUACCUUGGUUCUCAAAACUAAGGGAAAUACUUACGCUACUUUACUGCAUCACCCUUUCCUCUUCAAGGGAAAACCAACGCAAUGCUCAAGAGGUAGUAGUCUCUUGCUCCUAUUAAGCUCAACCUUAGUAGAAGUGGGCAGCGGCACUGGGUGGAUAGUCUAUCCGCCCUUAAGUGGUAUUACCAGUUAUUCUAGAGGAGCAGUUGAUUUAGCAAUUUUUAGUCUUCAUCUAUCAAGUAUUUCAUCAAUUUUAGGUUCUAUCAAUUUAUAA
rnacentral:rRNA from 1 species